UGGGGAAUAUUGCACAAUGGGCGCAAGCCUGAUGCAGCCAUGCCGCGUGUGUGAAGAAGGCCUUCGGGUUGUAAAGCACUUUCAGUCGUGAGGAAGGUAGUGUAGUUAAUAGCUGCAUUAUUUGACGUUAGCGACAGAAGAAGCACCGGCUAACUCCGUGCCAGCAGCCGCGGUAAUACGGAGGGUGCGAGCGUUAAUCGGAAUUACUGGGCGUAAAGCGCAUGCAGGUGGUUUGUUAAGUCAGAUGUGAAAGCCCGGGGCUCAACCUCGGAAUAGCAUUUGAAACUGGCAGACUAGAGUACUGUAGAGGGGGGUAGAAGUUUCAGGUGUAGCGGUGAAAUGCGUAGAGAUCUGAAGGAAUACCGGUGGCGAAGGCGGCCCCCCUGGACAGAUACUGACACUCAGAUGCGAAAAGCGUGGGGAGCAAAACAGGAUUAGAUACCCUGGUAGUCCACGCCGUAAAACGAUGUCUACUUGGAGGUUGUGGCCUUGAGCCGUGGCUUUCGGAGCUAACGCGUUAAGUAGACCGCCUGGGAGUACGGUCGCAAGAUUAAAAGCUCAAA
rnacentral:rRNA from 1 species